rnacentral:rRNA from 1 species
GACGAACGCUGGCGGCGUGCUUAACACAUGCAAGUCGAACGGAAAGGCGCUGCUUUUGUGGGGUGCUUGAUUGCCGAACGGGUGAGUAACACGUGUGUAACCUGUCCUUGACUUUGGGAUAACUUUACGAAACUGGGGCUAUUAUCGGAUAUGAGCUCCUGCUGCAUGGUGGGGGUUGGAAAGUUUCGGUGGUUGGGGAUGGACUCGCGGCUUAUCCGCUGGUUUGUCGGGUAGUGGCGUUCCAAGCCUUUGACGGGUAGGCGGCCUGGGAGGGGUGACAGCGACAUGGGGCCUGCGAGACGGCGCAGACGCCUACGGGAGGCAGCAGGGGGGAGUAUUACGCAGUAAGCGGGAGCCAGAGACAGCGACGCCGCGUGCGGAAUAACGGGCUUCGGGGGAUAAACCGCUUUCGAAGGUGACGAGGCGAGAGUGACGGUAAUGAGUAAGGAAGCACCGGCUAACUACGUG